UAAUGCCUUUGCUUGGCCAAGCUAUGUGCAAAUAUCACAAAUUAAAAAUUCGGUUAAGCAGUUAGGCUGGACCUAAUAUUUUAGAAAAACCUAAUUUUUUUUUGUGGACCCAUUUUCGAUAUUUACUCACAAAUGGAAUUCAAGGGGAACAACUUCGGUCUCAGCACUUUAAUUAUUCUUCUCGUUUCCACCUAAUUUCGCAAUUUAUUGUCCUUGACUUCUACCACGAGAAAAAAAUUAAGAAAAUGCAACGCUGCCCGUGCAGGGUUUUCUGAGCGGGAUGAAAAAAAUCAGACAAAUAUCCAAGUUAUGAGUAAUUACUUUGUUGGAAGGAGGGAGCAGAGCAUAAGAAAAUUCUUAAAACUGUUAUGUAUAUAAAGGAAGAACCAUUUCUAGUUAUUUCACUUUUUGAUACUUGUCAACUAUCUUAGUAAAAAUACAGAACUCUAUAAAGAACCACAGAAAAAUCGACAGCAAUGACAAGCAUUGACAUUAACAACUUACAAAAUACCUUUCAACAAGCUAUGAAUAUGAGCGGCUCCCCAGGCGCUGU
rnacentral:sRNA from 1 species